rnacentral:snRNA from 1 species
UGGCUUUGGUAGCACAUAUACUAAAAUUGGAACGAUACAGAGAAGAUUAGCAUGGCCCCUGUGCAAGGAUGACAUGCAAAUUUGUGAAGUGUUUCAUAUUUUU